UGUAAUAUGUAUCAAUGUGUUCAAGGAUGGGCUUAGGCAGUGCCAAGCACCAAGCUUUAUUCCCAUUCAGGGCCUCCCUUCAGAUGUGAGCUGAAUUAGAAUGUGAUGCUUGGCUUGAUGCAACUACGGAAUAUCACCUUCCAACAGCAACAAGAGGGGUCUAGUCAGUUUUUGAAUUGUCUUUUACAAUACCACUGGAUUCAGAACAGCCGGAGAAGCUGUGUGUCUUGGCACAACAAGAGAACAAACUAAGGAUAAUGAUGAUAAAGGGGCAUCAAAGAUGCAGAUGAAUAUGAUGAGCAGUAUGAGGAAGACCAACGCUGCUAUCACACAGGCUAUGAUGAUCUGCCGCUGGUCUCCUAUACGCCAGGCCAAAUCAACAUACUCACACCUGGACCCAAUGUACCCCUUUUCACAUCUGAGACAGAGCAAACACACAAUUCACCUGCUGUGAUUAAAAUGUGCUCAACAA